ensembl:lncRNA
AGAGGGGAACAGAGAGCGCGCUGAUUGAAGCAGCAGUUGUGUGACUGCACCGAGUGGAUGACUUAAGUCAGUGUUUAUAUUAGUGUUUGUUGCCGCAUAUGAGAGAUCUCCGGUGGGGGAGGGGAUUCAGGCCUACUUCGACGGAGAUUGAGCAGGGGAGAACAAGCUGGUGAGAUCGCAUGUGCCAGUUUCCACGUGAUUGAUAAUCCGGAGUCUCAUAUAACAGCACAUAUAAGCCACUGCCGUUGUUUCGCACACCUUUAUGGGUUCUUUAACAUUGGUUGCACUAUUUCAAGUCAAAUUGGGGCUUGUGAUCUGGUGUUUUGAUUAGAGGUUAUUAUUGUAAAGGACUUAUUUUUAUUCUUUACAUUUCUUUUUAUACCUUAUUUCACUUCCUGUGCCCAUUGAAGUGAAUUGGGUAACGUCAUUUAUUUUGUUUUAUUAUUGUUUUAUUUGACUUUUCUUGUUUAACUGGAUUGAAGUCCUGAGAAAAUACUAUUUUUCCCCUGAACCAAACAUUAAUGCUGGGUCUCCAUUUGAGGCUCAGUGAAGAAUAAAAGAAUCCUUUUCAGUAGAUGUCUUGGCAUUGUCUUUUUCUUAGUAUAUUAGAAGGACGUCUAGCCGGC